UCCGGGGGGAGCAAGCGUUGUCCGGAAUCACUGGGCGUAAAGGGCGCGUAGGCGGCCUGAUAAGUAGGGGGUGAAAUCCUGCGGCUUAACCGCAGGGCUGCCUUCUAAACUGUCAGGCUCGAGCACAGUAGAGGCAGGUGGAAUUCCCGGUGUAGCGGUGGAAUGCGUAGAGAUCGGGAAGAACAUCAGUGGCGAAGGCGGCCUGCUGGGCUGUUGCUGACGCUGAGGCGCGACAGCGUGGGGAGCAAACAGG
rnacentral:rRNA from 1 species